rnacentral:miRNA from 2 species
CUUCUUGUGCUCUAGGAUUGU